rnacentral:rRNA from 1 species
CGGCGUGCUUAACACAUGCAAGUCGAACGGAACUCUUUGGAAUCAAAGGCUUCGGCCAAGGUGAAUUGAGUUUAGUGGCGGACGGGUGAGUAACGCGUGAGGAACCUGCCUUUCAGAGGGGGACAACAGUUGGAAACGACUGCUAAUACCGCAUAACGUACCGAGAUGGCAUCAUUUUGGUACCAAAGGAGCAAUCCGCUGAAAGGUGAGCUCGCGUCUGAUUAGAUAGUUGGUGGGGUAACGGCCUACCAAGUCGACGAUCGGUAGCCGAACUGAGAGGUUGAUCGGCCGCAUUGGGACUGAGACACGGCCCAGACUCCUACGGGAGGCAGCAGUGGGGGAUAUUGCACAAUGGAGGAAACUCUGAUGCAGCAACGCCGCGUGAGGGAAGACGGUCUUCGGAUUGUAAACCUAAGUUAUCAGGGACGAUUAUGACGGUACCUGAAGAGAAAGCUCCGGCUAACUACGUG